UUUCCCUUAUUUCGAAAUAUCCUAAAACAGCUAUAAGCUCCCAAGAACUCAGCUCCCCAUAGUUGUGGUCCGAAAUUUUUUGGGACUUCGAAUAGGAAAAACGACUGUGAUAAAGCAAAACCAUGUGAGCCUCCAUAUAUGCAAAGUCGUCAGAUCGGGCUGAGACUUGGGAUGAGCACAAAUUAGCAUAAGUAAUUUUCAAAAAAAUGAAAUAUGCUUCAAAAUUUGGUUGUGUCAUCCAACAUGCAUUCAGUAUUUACUCAUUGAUCUUGUUGUUAUUUCUCCAUAAAAGUGCCUACAAGUUAAAGUAUACCGAAAAGCAACGAAAGACUCAUUCUAUCACCUUUAGUUAUUUUUAAACAUUAUAGUUAAAAUGUCCACAAAAUAUUCCCUUAAACACUUAUUGACCCACACACAACUGCGGCCCACAUGCAAAGUUGCAAUGAGAUUUUGAGAAAAAGAGGAAUAGGUAUGUAGCAAUGUGGUGCUGGUUGAAUUUUCCCCAUGUAAGCCUUAUGGUGUUGCUGUGAAAAAGGAGGGUUCGAGGGUUUUCAGGGAUUUUUUUGGGUUUCUAUCCCCGAUCCAUUCCAACAACUGCCAUAACCUUCCUACACUGGGACUGUUCAUCUACCUAAAUAAAAAGCAAGUUUUCCCUCUAUGUACAGGCCCAAAUUGGGAGCAGCAUAGGGACUUUUCUUAUACCUACUCACCCUCAUUUAAGUAUUUUUCGAUAGAAUAUUCAUUUUAUUUAGGGACCUGAUAUAGGGUGCGCUAAAGAGGGUGAAUGGGAAAAAGUGGUAUGUGAAUAAGGUUUUGAAGAUGGUGAAACAGUGAAGAGUCGCAUGGGAAAUAAAACUCCAGUUUGCCUCUGGUGAUAGAAAUGUAUGGGUGGUGUGUGAGGGGUACAACAAGCUGAGAGACGAAGGUAUACGAUGGGAGACAGAAAAAAAGGCAAGGGAAGGCAGAAAAAGAUAUGAUUUUCAUGGAAAAAGGACCAAAAAGGUUUCUCGGUCGGUCUAUCCGUUAUCCUUCGGCUUCCUUUCAUACCUAUUAUGACCUGGACAGUGGAUGAAGGGCAACCUACAGGAUCACUUUAUCCCUCACCACCCACGGCAAACCCUUACAUGAUUCACAUAGUGAUUUACUAUAUAGUUUCUCUGUAAACGCUAUUGUACAUGAUUCCCUGUGCAAUAUAUAUUAUAUUUUAUAAUUUGUAGAUUAUUUUUUUGCUCACUGAUAGUAUGCCAUCAUUUUUAUUGAAUAUGAUUUUGGCAGCAAUCUCUUUGCUAUAGUUUUGGCGUUAAGAAUAAGAUAGAUUUAGUCUGUAAUGAGUGUAAACAUAAACCGUUAGAAUGGAACGAAGCUUGGACUAAUCGCAGUAUAAAGUGGCCAGCAACAACGGUUCAGAAUGUUCUCAUAGUGGAGUUCUUCUUCAUGAAAAAUAUUCUUAUUCCUGAGGCCUUCUUCUUUAACUUCUCCAUGGGUGCUCUCAACUCAAUUCUACCAUCCGCUGUCGUAAGAGUUACUACAGGGUUACACAAAAAACAACAUACAAUUUAAAAAAUAUAUAUGAGUUCCGCUCUAGCUUAGGGGUUAUAUAGUCACUUAUAAAUUUAGAAAAUUAUAAAAAAAAUCUAUAUUUAAGUAUUUUUUUCAUUUCAUUUCAUUAAAAAAAAACAUAACAGAAAUGGAACUAAACAUAAUUUAGCCCUUAAAUUCCCUGCUUCUAAAUAGUGUUAUACAUCCUAUAUUGAUAAAUAUCGCGUAAAUUAAUAAAUAUUUUUUAUGAAAGCUUAAUAUAGGAUACAAAAAGCUACUUAAAAAAAAACAGUUUAGAGUAACCCUGUGCAAAUAGCUGAGAGAUCUCAACUCGCCAUUGCCUUCAAUGUUUUGUAUCUCGCUAUAGCUAACCAUGGUAUAUGCUGUAAGUAAUUUUGUGAAUAUUGUGACUGUGCCGAUGGUAGAGAGAAACUCUUAGUUCAGAGCGUUGUCGCUUCUUUAUUUCAGAAGGCACUUUGUGUUGGUUGGUUAUAAAAUGUUUGCUAUAGCCAUGGUCUCUUCAACUCAGAGAGUUUUAUGUUGAAAAUGCUAAAGCUGGCACACCGGCGUGUGGUGCUUGUGAGGAGAGUCGGCAGAUCCGAUGGUUGGGAUGUGUGUGGAAAACAGAAAGACGAAUAUUUUGUGGUGUGUUCACUUUUUUGAGAAUUGUAUAGCUCUUUGGUUGCGCAGAGUGGUGGCUGGGAAUGGAAUGAAAUUUGAAGAAGAGAAGACGAUGAAAUAGCUGAUGGGUUGGAAGAGAGCAGAAAAAGUUCAGCGCACGGUGUUGCGUGUGCAUUCAUGAGAAAAUAUUAAUAUGAUUAUUACCAUUAUUAUUGUUGUGUGUAUUACAAUGAUGAGGAUUUUGGUAAAAAAAAAGAAAACUAAAGUGCGAGAGAAGGCCCUUUUCUCCUCUCGCGAGAGUAUGUCAGGAGAUAUUUGGCGGAUUAUGAGAGGUACAAUGGAAAGAGAAUGCUGAAAAUUCAAAUGAAAAGCAUUACACGCUUCAAGUUCACUUCCUUUCACGUGGGUAGGUAUGUUAUUUCUCUUUUUUUUUUUGAUAACUCCAGAGGAGAAUUUAGAAAUCACUUUGCUGUGGUUUACCCACGUGGAGAGAAUAUUGCAAGGAAAAAGAAGAUAGAUAUUAAUGUAGCAUAUGUAUGCGAAAAGUAUUGACCAUAGAAAAUUUUAAAAAAAAAUAACUAUUUACUAAAAUAUUUUAAACUGUUUUUACUGUAUUACACCUCAAUUAAGUAAUCCUUAAUUUUUUUUAAUCCCGAAAAAUAAUUUUUAAGUUUGUAAAAUAUUUCGAAAAUUAAUAUCGAUAGAAUAUAUUAUGGGAAAAUAUUUCGCCGUUAUUCGGGAUAUAGAAUAAUGUUGGAAAAGAUGAAAAUUAAUAGUGGAAUGCUAGAUAUGUCUCUAAAAAUAAGGCGCGAAAUCGGUCCGCCAUAGGUUUGUAUUCUCUUUUUAGAGAGUUUUGCGCCAAUGAUGUUGAGAAUGCGAAGUCAUCAACUUUAUAAAUAAAUCCCAAUACCGCCACUUCGUUCGAAAUCACACUCUUGACUUCAUGCGGAUGUGGGAGGGCAUUGAGGGAUUUUUUUUUAUCCUGCAGAAUCUCUUGUUAUUCCUUUUCUGUGAUGUGGCAUCACUCGUUCAUGAGUAUAACUCAAAAUUACUUAAAAUAAUAAUCAAGGAAUUUUCAAAGACGACGAUGACGACAUAUCGAGAGUGUUGAACAGAAAUUCUCUCCGUCUUUUCUUUUGCUGUUGUCCCCUCAUGCCACACGGGGGCCCUAUAGAUACAGAAGAGCUCUGCUGGAUGGGAAGAGCAUCAGCGAAAAAAAAAACAGAAAUGAAGAGAAAAAGGCAAAGAUAAUCCAGAUACAUUACGAAGUGAAAGAGGUGGAGGGACGUAAAGAGGGAAUGGGAAAACAGCGAGAGAAACUGACUGAGAGAGGUGAACAGAAAUCGUGAAAUGAACACGAAACUCCAUGGCAAUUGAGAAGCUCUCAAGAAAAUACUGUCGAGUUGAUGGGGGGACUUGGUAGCCAGCCUCCAUUCUAAUCCACACAAGCAUUUUUGUAUUUUCGAACUCAACAAAAUGCGAGUGAGUGGCGAACAUUGAGGUUAUGAAACCGUUUCGCUGAAAAGUCAUGCGGUAGAGUCACUAGCGGGGUAACAAAAAAUAAGAAAUACAAUUUUCUGUACACUCCGCGCAUUGGGCUCUUUCGCCUCUAAUACCAUUUUGCCACUUUCAUACAAUUUUCAGUUAAGCCGUUACAUUUUCAACGUGAAAAUGCGUGAAACUCACUACACAAUGCAAAAAAUAAAAAAUAAAAACUUGACACAAA